GAAGGAGCUGCUUGUCCAGACAUGAUCAGGAAGCUGCUGGUCAAAUCGAGAGAAGUACACAUCUCUCCUAUCUUUGAAGGUAGUCUAAGGGUCUAGAGCAUUCCAAGCAAAAAUUAUGACUGAGGGCACAGAUUUUGUUACUUUUCACAUAAGGAAUUGUCUGGAAAGGAAUAAGACUGAAGUUAGUGAGGAUAACUGAGAUCUACACAAGGGAGUCGAUGCCAAGAACUACAGGAAUCACAAUGGGAAUGAAAUAAACAAACAUGGAACAGAGUGGACCCUGUGUGGGCAGCUGAGCGAGAUGGACAGUCAUAAGUAACCCUCAGGACUUUGGCUUGAAAUCAUUUAUACAUGGGGCUGGCCUUUGUUCAGACAAGAAAGGAAAAUACAGUAAAGUGCAAAUGAUAUCUGUGUUAGUCUUUGUUGUGUUAAAGUGUCCAACUAUUUUAGUUUUACAAGCAGAAAAUGACUGCAUCUCAUUCAGAGAUUUUCAGAUUGUGGAAAUGUGCUUCACUGCUAUAGAUUCUUGAAUGAAGUAACAGCAAGUAUAUUUUUCUUCAGUGUAACUGUUGUGUUUUAGAUAGAAUGUUCCCCAAAAGCUCAUGUGGUCAGAGGCAGGGAUUUGGAA